UACGAAGGGUGCAAGCGUUAAUCGGAAUUACUGGGCGUAAAGCGUGCGUAGGCGGUUGCUUAAGUCAGAUGUGAAAGCCCCGGGCUCAACCUGGGAACUGCAUUGGAAACUAACGGGCUCGAGUGUGGCAGAGGGGGGUGGAAUUCCACGUGUAGCAGUGAAAUGCGUAGAGAUGUGGAGGAACACCGAUGGCGAAGGCAGCCCCCUGGGCUAACACUGACGCUCAGGCACGAAAGCGUGGGGAGCAAACAGG
rnacentral:rRNA from 1 species